rnacentral:rRNA from 1 species
UGACACCUCCAUACCUACUUGUGAAUGCCUGAUAUCGUCCUCGGAAGAUAAGCAAGGCCAGACCUGGUUAGUAUUUGGAUGGAAGACCACUGGGAAUACCAGAUGUUAU